UACGUAGGGUGCGAGCGUUGUCCGGAAUUACUGGGCGUAAAGAGCUCGUAGGUGGUUCGGUAAGUCGGAUGUGAAAUCUCCAGGCUCAACCUGGAGGGGUCAUUCGAUACUGCCGUGGCUAGAGGUCGGUAGGGGAGUGUGGAAUUCCUGGUGGAGCGGUGAAAUGCGCAGAUAUCAGGAGGAACACCCGUAGCGAAGGCGGCACUCUGGGCCGAUACUGACACUGAGGAGCGAAAGCGUGGGGAGCGAACAGG
rnacentral:rRNA from 1 species